CAGGCACGGGAGCACCUCUGCUCUGCAGGCUGGCUGGGAGCAGCAGCACCCCUGAGGCAGCACACAGAGCCCUCUGGGAGAUGAUGCCAUAAUCUGACAUGGGCACCUCACAGUGGGACCAAGGAUGGAGCAGAAGGAGCCUGGAAAUGGACAAGCAGCAAGGAGAGGCUGGACUUGAUCAUGAACAUUUUUUCAACCUCAAUGAUUCUGUGAUUCUGCGAGCUGUAUGUCUGUAGUGCCCUUGUUUGCAGGGAAACACCUCUGUCCCUGCAGAGCCCAUCAUCCAGAUCUUGGCUUGAUGGAAGCAGGAGCUCUGGGUAGCAGAACUGCAUUCAUCCACCUAAACUUUAAUUCAGCCCUUAAUCUACAGUUUUUUUCAGAACAGUCUUAUGGAAAAACAACUUCUUCACAGACAGCACCAAGAAUUUAGGGGAGCUUUAUCUCAGCCACUGACCAACCAUAAAUUUCAUAUUUACACCUAUAUCCAGAUGAGUAAACAAAUCUCAUCAUUUUGAUGGUAUUUAGAAGAAUGGGAAAUUUCUAUCACCUCAGCUCAUCAGCUAAACAACAGUCAAUGUAGCCUAAACUUGACAUUUUUCAUCUGUGGAUGUUUCCCCCUCCUAAAACAGAUGUGAAGGACCUAAAAGAUUCUCAUGCAAAUGGCUACAUCUUUCUUUUAUACACUUAAUUUUGAAAAUAGUACCUUAACUGAGCAGCAAGAAUCCCACCUGUCUGUCACCAACACAUCACCUGCUAAUGCCAGAUUGAAGUGGAGCAAUACACAGCUCUGUCUUAAAAGAUUUUCUGAUUCAUUAAUGCUUAUGCUUUCCCUUCAAUAGCAAAUAUCUCCUUUUGUCUCAAAUAAACACAUGGAAAU